GUCUCCCUGUGGAGUGAUCUCUAAGAUCUCCAGCACUGACAGCUCGUCGGCAGUGAUGGUGCCCACCAGCUCCCCGUCCUUCAGCCAGGUGUAGACUCCCUCCUGUACAGGCGUCACAUCGUCCAGGGAGAGGGUGACAUUGGACGCCGUGUCCCAUAGAAGCUCCUGGUCUCCGAACAUCCAGGAGAUUCUGGGAGGAGGGUUACUGUCCACCUCGCAGUGCAGAACCACAGAGCUGCCCUCCAUCACCUCUGAGGACACGUUCACCCACACAGAGCGUGGAGCGUCUGGGAGGGAAAUAGUCUGUUGGGGAGCCGGAAGCACAGAGAGGGACAGAAAAAUACUAAAUAAACUGAUUAAGAGGUCUAAUUCUGUCCUGGACUGCCAUCUAGACACCAUAGAAGAGUUGGGUGAGAGGAGGAUGUUAGCCAAGCUGACGUCAAUCAUGGACAACACCUCUCACUCCCUGCAUGAGACUGUGAGGUCCCUGAGUAGCUCCUUCAGCAACAGACUGAUGCACCCACGGUGCAAGAAGGAGUGCUACUGCAGGGCCUUCAUUCCAACGGCAUUCAGACUCUAUAACACAGCAAUGACAUAAUGUCCCACUGUUUGUUGUUUCUGUAUCACUUAUCACAGUCGAGUUUUUUUCCAGUAGUCUGUCUAUUUCUUAUUCACACUGUAUGUUUACCAGUACUGUAUAUCCACAGCCCUAUUUUUAUAGCCUACAUUAACUAAACUACAUUUCUGUAUAUAAUCUGUCCUGCACGCCUAUUCUUAUCUUUUGAUUUCUUUAAUAGUAGUCUUUUCUAUUCAAUUUUUAUUUAUUGUGCAUUUUCCUAUCUGUUGUGUUGUAUCUGUAAAGGCAAAGGCAAGAUUAAAAGUUCUUCAAAAUGUCUUUAUUUAAAAUAAAUAGCAAGCUUGCCAUACAGUAGAUCAUAUGAAUUGAAAUUUACUUUCUUGUUUACACGACAUUUAUUACUUUCUUCUGUUAUAUUCCUCUAAAAAUAAGGUUAAAUUUUAAUACACAGGUU